rnacentral:rRNA from 1 species
GGCGGCAGGCCUAACACAUGCAAGUCGAGCGGUAGAGAGAAGCUUGCUUCUCUUGAGAGCGGCGGACGGGUGAGUAAUGCCUAGGAAUCUGCCUGGUAGUGGGGGAUAACGUUCGGAAACGGACGCUAAUACCGCAUACGUCCUACGGGAGAAAGCAGGGGACCUUCGGGCCUUGCGCUAUCAGAUGAGCCUAGGUCGGAUUAGCUAGUUGGUGAGGUAAUGGCUCACCAAGGCGACGAUCCGUAACUGGUCUGAGAGGAUGAUCAGUCACACUGGAACUGAGACACGGUCCAGACUCCUACGGGAGGCAGCAGUGGGGAAUAUUGGACAAUGGGCGAAAGCCUGAUCCAGCCAUGCCGCGUGUGUGAAGAAGGUCUUCGGAUUGUAAAGCACUUUAAGUUGGGAGGAAGGGUUGUAGAUUAAUACUCUGCAAUUUUGACGUUACCGACAGAAUAAGCACCGGCUAACUCUGUGCCAGCAGCCGCGGUAAUACAGAGGGUGCAAGCGUUGAUCGGAAUUACUGGGCGUAAAGCGCGCGUAGGUGGUUUGUUAAGUUGGAUGUGAAAUCCCCGGGCUCAACCUGGGAACUGCAUUCAAAACUGACUGACUAGAGUAUGGUAGAGGGUGGUGGAAUUUCCUGUGUAGCGGUGAAAUGCGUAGAUAUAGGAAGGAACACCAGUGGCGAAGGCGACCACCUGGACUAAUACUGACACUGAGGUGCGAAAGCGU